GCUCUUCAUCAACUCAGGGUUGGUAAGAUUAUUCAGACUUCAAUUAGUCUAGUCUCACUGAUUACAGUCCUGAUUAUACACGCAGGGUUUGAAAGACCACACACACAGACUGUAAGCAGCAGUGUUUCAGAUCACAGUAUUUGACUUCAUCCUUCAGUACAGCGUGAAGUGAAUCAACCAGACGAGAUGUCUCAG